GUUGGCAAGGCUGGUCCCAAACUCCUGGCCUCAGGUGAUCCACCUAUCUCAGCCUCCCAAAGUGUUGCGAUUAUAGGCAUGAGCCAUUGCACCCGGCCCUCUUUUCUUCAACUAGGUGAAUUUCGUAAACCAAUCACCACUGCAGCUGUCCCUCCCAGACCGAGAUGGAGGUUUCUGGACUCACAGAAUCUAGACCAGAGACUUGGUGGAGAAGGCAGUCUGAUCUCUGCCUUCCUUCCUUUGCCAGAGAUGGGGUUUUGCCAUGCGGUCCAGGCUGGUCUUGAAUUCAUGAGCUCAACUGAUCUGCAUGCUUCCGCCUCUCAAACUGCUGGAAUCACUGCAGGCAUGAGCCACCGUGCCCAGCCUGGUUUCUGUCACUGAGAACUCAGUCUUUAUGUUAAUUCUAUAGACUCUGAGUAAACGAAAACAAGA